GCAUGCUUGCGGUNUGGGNUCACUCUUCUUAAACAUGCAAGUCCNAACGAUGAAGCCCUUCGGGGUGGAUUAGUGGCGAACGGGUGAGUAACACGUGGGCAAUCUGCCCUUCACUCUGGGACAAGCCCUGGAAACGGGGUCUAAUACCGGAUAANACUCCUGCCUGCAUGGGCGGGGGUUGAAAGCUCCGGCGGUGAAGGAUGAGCCCGCGGCCUAUCAGCUUGUUGGUGGGGUAAUGGCCCACCAAGGCGACGACGGGUAGCCGGCCUGAGAGGGCGACCGGCCACACUGGGACUGAGACACGGCCCAGACUCCUACGGGAGGCAGCAGUGGGGAAUAUUGCACAAUGGGCGAAAGCCUGAUGCAGCGACGCCGCGUGAGGGAUGACGGCCUUCGGGUUGUAAACCUCUUUCAGCAGGGAAGAAGCGAAAGUGACGGUACCUGCAGAAGAAGCGCCGGCUAACUACGUGCCAGCAGCCGCGGUAAUACGUAGGGCGCAAGCGUUGUCCGGAAUUAUUGGGCGUAAAGAGCUCGUAGGCGGCUUGUCACGUCGGAUGUGAAAGCCCGAGGCUUAACCUCGGGUCUGCAUUCGAUACGGGCUAGCUAGAGUGUGGUAGGGGAGAUCGGAAUUUCUGGUGUAGCGGUGAAAUGCGCAGAUAUCAGGAGGAACACCGGUGGCGAAGGCGGAUCUCUUGGGCCAUUACUGACGCUGAGGAGCGAAAGCGUGGGGAGCGAACAGGAUUAGAUACCCUGGNUANUCCACGCCCNUAAACGUUGGGNACUAGGUGUUNGGCGACAUUUCCNCGUUGGNCGGUGCCNGCANCUUAACNCAUUAAGUUNCCCCCCCUGGGGGAUUNCCGGCCNCAAGGGUUAAACUCCAAAGGAAUUGACCGGGGNCCCCCCACAANCCG
rnacentral:rRNA from 1 species